UUAUUGGAGAGUUUGAUCCUGGCUCAGGAUGAACGCUGGCGGCGUGCCUAAUACAUGCAAGUCGAGCGAAUGGAUUGAGAGCUUGCUCUCAAGAAGUUAGCGG
rnacentral:rRNA from 1 species